UACGGGGGGGGCAAGCGUUGUUCGGAAUUACUGGGCGUAAAGGGCUCGUAGGCGGCCAACUAAGUCAAACGUGAAAUCCCUCGGCUUAACCGGGGAACUGCGCUUGAUACUGGAUGGCUUGAGAUUGGGAGAGGGAUGCGGAAUUCCAGGUGUAGCGGUGAAAUGCGUAGAUAUCUGGAGGAACACCGGUGGCGAAGGCGGCAUUCUGGACCAUAACUGACACUGAGAGACGAAAGCCAGGGGAGCAAACGGG
rnacentral:rRNA from 1 species